rnacentral:rRNA from 1 species
GUCUACAGCCAUGCCACCCACCCUGAACAAGCCCGAUCCCAUCUGAUCUCAGAGACUAAGCUGGGUCGGGCCUGGUUAGUACUUGGAUGAGAGACCACCUAGGAAGACCAGGUGCUGUAGGUG